AUAACAAAAAAUAAGUCAUUUUGCCACCACAGGCAUAUAGUGCGUUCAAAACUCUGGGUGUACCUGUAAGUUACACCAGACCUAGAUGGUCGACAAAGUAUUAUUAUACCUUAUUGUUUUAACACAUUUUAUACAUUGGUGCAUACACAAGUGCUUUCAUCAAGUUAAUAUCUUGAUGAAACCCCCUUUGUAUUAAUGUCUUAAGGACACAGAUGAAUCAACCCUUCUUGACCAUAUACACUGCAAUAUAACGAAUGUCACUUAUCUUAAUGUUUUCACCAGGUCACCACAGAAGUCACAGACAUCGCAGUCACUCAAAGUAUCGAGAGAAGAGUUCAAAGAAAAGUCACAAGAAGAGCCGAAGAGGAAACGACUAGUCCAUUCUGUCUUUCUACGUAUUAUUUUAAUUUAGCGUGUUCUGUCUCUUUUUUCAUUCUUAUUGAGACUUCAAAAUAAACAGGGAAAUGCCAUUCCAUAACGUGUCACGUUUGCAAGGAACUUUGACCCGAUAGCCAAUGGUGAGUGGAGGUGGAGGAUCCCCACCCAGUUCAGUCCAUUCCUCCUCCCUCUGGACAAU